rnacentral:rRNA from 1 species
UACAGAGGGUGCAAGCGUUAAUCGGAAUUACUGGGCGUAAAGCGCGCGCAGGCGGUUUUGUAAGUCUGUCGUGAAAGCCCCGGGCGUCAACCUGGGAAUUGCGAUGGAGACUGCAAGGCUUGAAUCUGGCAGAGGGGGUAGAAUUCCACGUGUAGCAGUGAAAUGCGUAGAGAUGUGGAGGAACACCGAUGGCGAAGGCAGCCCCCUCGGGUCAAGAUUGACGCUCAUGCACG